UACGAAGGGUGCGAGCGUUGUUCGGAUUUACUGGGCGUAAAGGGCGCGUAGGCGGCUUUGCAAGUGACGGGUGAAAGCCCUCGGCUUAACCGAGGAACUGCCUGUCAGACUGUAAGGCUUGAGACCGGGAGAGGUGAGUGGAAUUCCCAGUGUAGCGGUGAAAUGCGUAGAUAUUGGGAGGAACACCAGUGGCGAAGGCGGCUCACUGGACCGGAACUGACGCUGAGGCGCGAAAGCGUGGGGAGCAAACAGG
rnacentral:rRNA from 1 species